UUUUGACAGACACGGCUCGCGCACGUUUUUUUCUCCGCAUCCAUUCUCGGUCGGCAGUCGGCAGCCAGUUUUUAGAGGAUUUUGUUGUUUUUAAAUAUGUUUAUUCGAAGUGCCCCAUCUUCAGGGUGCAACGGCAAAAUAUAACAACAAUGCAAGAGUACGACCAUUCGUACGACAAGAAUUCCGGCACACCGGUGUCCUCCGCACAAAACGUCGUCGUCCAGCACAUCCCCCAGCAGCUGACGGUACCGCAACUGCUGGCCGGUGCUAUCGGGGUACAGCAGCAGAUCCAGGGGGAACCGUUGAAUGAGUCCGGCGGCUCAGCCAGUGGUGCCGGAACCAGCAAUGGAUGCCGGGAGCGAUCAUACGGAAUGCCGGAAUGAGACCUCAGACAAGCCCAGUGAAUAAUGGACAGUGAUUUAGUGUGUAAGUAAAGUGUUGAGGUUAUUAGAAUAAAUAACAAAAUUUAAGUAAA